GACGAACGCUGGCGGCGUGCUUAACACAUGCAAGUCGAACGAGAAUCUGCGGAAAGAGGAUUCGUCCAAUUGAAGCAGAGGACAGUGGCGGACGGGUGAGUAACGCGUGAGGAACCUGCCUCUCAGAGGUGGACAACAGUUGGAAACGACUGCUAAUCCCGCAUGACACAUUGGGGUCGCAUGGCCCCGAUGCCAAAGAUUUAUCGCAGAAAGAUGGCCUCGCGUCUGAUUAGCUAGUUGGUGAGGUAACGGCCCACCAAGGCGACGAUCAGUAGACGGACUGAGAGGUUGAACGGCCACAUUGGGACUGAGAUACGGCCCAGACUCCUACGGGAGGCAGCAGUGGGGAAUAUUGGACAAUGGGCGAAAGCCUGAUCCAGCAACGCCGCGUGAGGGAUGACGGCCGUCGGGUUGUAAACCUCUUUCAGCAGGGACGAAGCGAGAGUGACGGUACCUGCAGAAGAAGGACCGGCCAACUACGUGCCAGCAGCCGCCGUAAGAC
rnacentral:rRNA from 1 species